rnacentral:lncRNA from 1 species
AGAUGUAGAUUUAAAGACUGCAGGUUUUUGUCUGUCUACAAUUGUAUUCCUCUCUGUCAUGAUGGGCAACUAUAGUUCAGCCCUCAUUCCUGACACUGAAGAGUUUGUUUCAAUUGUGUCAAUGGCGGAGAAGCUGAAUGAGCAGGUAGCUCGUGCUGCAGAUGAGAGUUUACAGGCAGAGCUUCAGACUCUGGUAACACUGAUGGAACAGGAAAGGAAAGAAAACCAGAGUGAAGAGCUGGAUUCUUUAGCACUUCAAGGAAACUCUGAGGAACCAAAUCAAAAUGGAUCUGCUCAGCCUGAAGUAGCACCCAAAAGUGUGCCCACGCAGUCCUUCUCCUCUCUGCUACCAAAGGCGCUCUCUGCUGUGCUCCACCCAUCGCUGCCCCCGGGCCUCGGCUCCAGCACCCACACAAACGCAAGUCAAGUGAAACACACGUCACCGAACCUGGAACAACUGCAGAUGGAGCUGAGGGACCUGAGGGACCAGUUUGAACAGAUGAAGAGUCAGCACAACAAAGAAAUUAAGCUACUGAUGAAUGAACUAGAUGAGGAGAAGAGGAUUCGCUUGACUUUACAGAUGGAGAUUCAGCGUAUGAAGAAGCACAUGGCUAAAUGA